GACGAACGCUGGCGGCGUGCUUAACACAUGCAAGUCGAACGGAAAGGCCCUGCUUGCAGGGUACUCGAGUGGCGAACGGGUGAGUAACACGUGGGUGAUCUGCCCUGCACUUCGGGAUAAGCCUGGGAAACUGGGUCUAAUACCGGAUAGGAGCCAUUUUUAGUGUGAUGGUUGGAAAGUUUUUUCGGUGUAGGAUGAGCUCGCGGCCUAUCAGCUUGUUGGUGGGGUAAUGGCCUACCAAGGCGGCGACGGGUAGCCGGCCUGAGAGGGUGGACGGCCACAGUGGGGCUGAGAUCCGGCCCAGACCCCGACGGGGGGAGGGAGGGGGGAAGUUGGAAAAAGGGGCGCAGGCUUGAUGCAGCGCGCCCGGGGGGGGGAUGAGGGCUUUGGGGUUGAAAACCCCUUUCGCGAGGAAAAAAGCUUUUUGGGACGGUACCUAAAAAAGAAGCACCGGCAAACUCCGUG
rnacentral:rRNA from 1 species